ensembl:lncRNA
CAGUGAAUGACAUUAGCAGGCCCAUUCAGUCAGCAGUCAGCAGAAUGGUGGUCAUCAGACAGAGAGUGAGGUAAGAGGCAGAUCCCAGCCUUCUCCCAGGGAGCUUUCCAACUCACCCAGCCUGGCGUCAGCAGAUUAACAGAUUUUCCUGCCCAAUUGAUUUUCUGGCAUCCAUGUGGUGAUCUAGCAGAGAUAAAAUGCGGGUUCUUAGUCCACGGCUGCAAGGAAACCGAGAGCUUGGCAAAUAGAACCGGCAAAGCUUCUUUCUCUCUCGCUCGGUUGGAGCAGGACAACUGGAGCCGGUCAGCUGCUGACCAGAUGCUGCCUUCAAUUAAUAUGCCAACCCUCAAAGACAUUUAUCGCUCACUCUCAAAAGCAGAGCAGCUGACUAAUAAAAGGAACUACUAAAACCAUUUUUUUUUAGAGCAUUUGUAAUGGCUAAAUUGCUUGAAAUAAAUUAGCAAAAAAAAAAUAAACAUAGUUUGUACAGUAUCUGUAAAACAAAUUUCUAGUCUUGGGAAAAUAGACAAAGUGAGAGCUUGUAUUUAACAAGCACAUGCAAUAUGCUUCAUUAAGACAAGGCUUUUUUUUUCCCUUCUAAAUUUAAAAAGGGUUAAUAAACUCCAAGAUAUCAUUGCCAGUUAAACAGGUUCUGCACCAUUUUAAGGGAAGUAAGAGGUUACAAAGGAGACAGUUAAAAAGAAACCAAGAGACUGUGUUGUAGUGCUAACAGGCAAUUAACAAACUCAUGGGUGUUAAUUAUCUUCAUACUGUAUCAUGUUCAAUUAGCUUAGUCUCUGCAACAAAGGCAACGAUGAACAAUUGCUUUGAUAGGUGUACAGUACUUCAUUUGUAGUUAAUCGGUUUAAGCCCUCUGGUUGCUAGGUUACCUUGGUCUCCAGAGGUAAAAAGCUGUACAGAUGCACUAUGUUUAAAUGACUACAGAGAACUGUUUAAACUCAAACCAUGUAUAACUCUUUAUUGAUUUUUCACAGAAGAUCUCAGCUCUGAUGAUAAGGUUUUGAUAUAUUUUCCUGCUACAGCCAGUUCCUUGGAGUAUUGCAGAAAAAAAAUCUGUCAAUAUGCUUCUAUUAUGAUCUCUUGAUCUGUGCCUAUAAAAACCUUUAGCCACAGCCCUUAUUAUAAAUAAUGGAAGAAGCAAUAUCUGAUUUUUUUUUCCACACUGUACUACAUGAAGAUUUUUUUUUUCCGUCAUUGCCUUUGGAUCCAAAUUACAGGACUUCUUUCUGUACCCAUGCUCUUAAAUAAUAAAGAAGAAUUUCUAGCUCUAAUUAAUUUGAUUGACUCUCAGCAGGAUGGGAUCAGCUGUAGCAUCAUGAACUUUAACAAUAACUACCAACUGAUGGGCAGUUCACAUCAAUAAGACCAUCACUAGCCUCUCUCUCACCUGUCACCAGGCGGGGAGUGAGCAAUAACCAGCCCCCCACAGAUGCUCCCCGCUUAGCGCUUUCUGCCCUAUUAGCAAUUUAUAAUGGUGAUCAAGAAACAGUCAGCAGCAAAUCAAGACAACUGUCUGGCUGCCUGUUUAAUUGGCCUUGUUUGCGUUUUGAUAAAUGGCUCGUGACUACUAUAGGCCCCUGUAUUUUGACUUUUAAUAGGCCACAGUGAUUAGACUACCAACAGAUACUAGGUCAAAACCAAGGAAAGGUGCAAAAAAUGUUAAUUAAUAUCAAUAAUAGGCAAUUAUUAGUUAGACAGAAGGACCUACUAGCUGCGUGCUCUAAUGGCUCAGAGCUAACUGGAAGAGGAGUGCUGCCAAAUUAGCAUAACUGUGUAUGCAGACUGCAUGGUGGAUCCUAGCAAACAUCUGUUAUGUUAGUAAUUCAAAUAGAAUUCCUGCCUUUGGAGAGAGAUUCGCAGAGUCAGCAAUCCCUGUUGGCCAUUUCAAGGCACUAACAAUACCCUAGUGACUGGUGUCCUUCCAAAUGGGCUGUGUUUCAGGCUAAGAAUUAAAUUGCACCUUUUCUUUGGAGUUGUGCUCUUGAGGAGCUUAAGGGGGUCACUGUCUUCUGGCCAGGAGAGGGUGGAGGAGAAGGGGUAUGUAUGGAAGCCACACUCACCUUAGAGGGAAGUGUAAUGUGGGCCCAGCAGAUUCAGGGAGGGACUCAGCCAUUUACGUUUGCUAUUUCAUAAUCAGCACUGAAAUAUGGCUGUGUUCAAUACAUCAGAUGAAACACUGUGUAUCAUUCUCACAGCAUGAUUUUAUCCUUUUCUUGAAGUGUGUGUUUGGGCUUGUGCAAUGAUGAAAGACUGACAGUAUGUUUUGAAGCAUAAAGAGAAGUAAGGUGGAGUAGGAGUUAAGACAAUGCAAUGCUUGGAAUUGUAAAUGUUAUUCCCUACACUUGUUGUUGACAUUGAGGUCACCAUGGGCAAAAUCCUCAUGAUAGUCAAAGAAUGUUAGAAUUGGAAAGGAAUUGGAGCUAUCUUAAGUCCAAAUUGAGAAAUGGAGAUCCAGAGAGGUCAAGGGACUCUUCAUGGUCAGCCAGCUGGUUUGGGGCAAGCCUGGAAGGAGACACAGGUCUCCUAAUUUCCCUCCCAGUGCCCUUCGCCUGACCUUGCUGCCUACCUAGGAGGCUGUGAGUUUCUAUCUGUGAUUUAGUGUUUGGUAGGUAUUUUCAAAAUGCACAUUUGAAAUGUAAAUGUGGAAUAUGUACAAAAAGUGUUCCUACUGUAUAAAUAUAUGAUAUUUAUGAAAUGGCAUGUUAUCAAACAUACUUUAUUUUUAGGGUUAGAAAAAAACUUGGUUAUAAAAUUCCAAAAUCUAUAGCCACCUCUUGAUGUUUCACAUUUUAAUGUCAAGCACAGAUUUUUUUUUUUCUUUUUGAGAAGGGUACCUUAAAACUGCGGUAUCCCCUGUUUUAUUUUGAGCUGUUUCCUUAUGUAUCUUGCUUGAACCAAACCGGGCAAGGAUAUGUGUGUGUUGCCCUUUUCCUUCCUCACCAGAGUACUGACAUUUAAGACCCAUUUGACUAAACAUUUUCAAGAUCUUAAAAAAAAAUAGAAAAGUGUGUGUAGGGGCACAGACUCUACCUCGUCAAAGACUGAAAUUGAAUUGUGGAUUAUAACCAACUGCAGUUUUCUCUCUUCUCUCUCUACCCUCCCCUAACCCUAACUCAGCCCCUCUCACUCCACCCCCAAUACCAAGGAUAUCUCUUCAGACUGCAUCUUUUCCCUGAAUGCACUGAGCCAUUAAUCCUUUUUAGUACCAAAGUGUCAGAGAAAAAUGGACUUACUUUUUCAUCUUUAUUCCUGCAAAAAUACUUUGAAAAUCAUCUGGUUUUGCAUCUAUGAGGAAAGUAUUAUGUAAGCUUAAAAAUAACAUUUUCAAAUAAUUCAUUUCUGGGAAUAGAAUCUUUUAAAAUGAUGGAAAUAUGACACUUAAGUUUCUCAUUUUUUACACUCUUAACAAAAAUAUUUGUUAGAGUCCUGGGCCAGGAUGUAAAAGAAUCACAAAAAUAACUAUCAGAAUAGUAUAUUUAUGAGUUAUUUAUUUCCUACCAUAUGGAUCUCUUUACUAAACAUUUUCUAUGUGUCAGCCACUUAAUUCUCAUAACAAAUCCCAUGAAGUAGGGUUCAUAAAAUGAAUCCCAUUUUAUGAAUGAAGAAACUGAGGCUUAGCAAGUUUCUAUUUAACUUAAGUUUAAAUGUGUGACACUUUGUAAUAUAAAUUAUUUUUCUAUUUUGAGGAUUUUUAGAAUUUCUUCAAUUCUUUUGUAUUGAAAAUAUAGUAGAUACUAUGUUUUAAAUAAAGUUUAAGAAGCAACAAGAAAAUGGUUCAUGUCGUAGCAUCUUUUUUCAGGUAGAGUGUAUAUUAUACAUAAAUGUUACUGUGAUAUUUUAAUAUUCCUAGAGUGAAAGGAAAUUAGAUUUAUUUUCUUUUAAUUAUUAGAGAUUUGUUUCUUUUAUUCCUAUAAACUCACUGCAUUGUGGUAUACUUGUCCCUUAAACUCCAGCAAAUCUCACAUGUUACUGAUUAGAAGAAGUAUGAGUAUUUUAUCUGUCACAAAUUAAUGAUGGAAUGCUAAAUUAAACUAGGAUGAAAUGCUUUCCAAUCCUUUCUUCUGAGUUAUCAAUAGCAUUCAUGAUAUAGCAUUUCUUUAAAAAGUGCCCAGCUGUUCACUCUGUGAUUUUCUUCCAUUGUCAGUAACAUUCAUUCCACAAUUUUUGAUGCUGGCGCUUUUAAUGUUCUCACAUGAGCAGAACAUGACAAAUCUGCCAGGACUGUGGCCUUGCUGAUAGUAGUAGAAUAACACAACUGCAUCUGGAUUUCACAGGUGUUAAAAUGUGCAAAAAGGAAGGUGCCGCUUAGAAUCCGUAAGAUGUGUUAGUACACCCAUCAUAGUUAUCUAUCACACAUCUGUAGAGUUAUACAAUUUUCAGAUAAGUAAAUCUAGUAAUUAAUUCCAGUCUCUCAAAAUGACAUGUGAUCACAAAUGUUUUUCUCAUAGUAGCAUUUGCAGCUAAACUCUUGGUGGUGUGUGGACUAAACUGCGAAUGUGGUGAGAAAUUCGGAAACUUCUCUUAUAUAGAGCUGGAUAAAGAGACUAGUAAAUUGAGUAUUUAAGGUUUCUUUUAUGUAUUUUUUACUAAGGUUCAUCUGUGCAGUUUUUAAAAUGAUCUUUGGCUGUGCUGAGUCUUCAUUGUUUUGCUCAGGCUUUUUCUAGUUGCAGUGAGCAGGGGCUACUCUUGUGCUGCCUGGGCUUCUCACUCUGGUGGCUUCUCUUGUGGUGGAGCAGUCUUCAGUAGUCGCAGCAGGAGUGCUCAGUAAUUAUAGCGUGUAGGCUCUAGGGCACAAGGGCUUCAGUAGUUGUGGCACACAGGCUCAGUAGUUGCGGCUCUCAGGCUCAGUGGUUGCAGUGCGCGGGUAUAGUUGCUCAGAUACAGGCGGAAUCUUCCUGGCCUGAGGAUUGAACCAGUGGCCCCCUGCACUGGCAGGUGGCUUCUUGUCCACUGUGACACUAUGGUAGUCCCAUAUGUGCAGUUUUUAAGAGCCAGAUUCCACAUGUGGCCAAUUAUGCCUUUAGUGUUUUAGUUGUACCAAGAGUACCACUAUGGCCUAUAAAUGGAAGGUCUGUCUCUACCUUGCUGGAACCAGGAACAAGCGGAAAAAUAUCUUUACGAGGUCUGGAAAGCUGAAGUGUUAGACCUAAGUGGUUGUCAGAGUGUCUGUCUACAAGAGAGAAAGCCCUAACUCUGGUGUGUGCAUCAAUGCCUGCUUUUGGUGAUGUGUUGAAAUUAAUAGAAUCUCUCAUGCCAGAAGAAUUUCCUGCUUUCUCUUCUGUAUAGGGCCUAGACCACUGUAUCUGUUUUCUUUUUUUUUCCUCUUCAGCAAAUAUUAGUCCUUGGAUAGAUACUGACACUUAUUGAGCCUAUUUCUAUUCAUGCCUGACAUAGCCAUGACUCAUAAUGAGGGACUAGGUGUCUUCCUCUUGGGUAGUUAUAUAUUAGUCAAUAGCCAUGAUUUUACAAUCAUGCAGGCCUGUAUUCCAGCCCCAGUUCAGCCACUCAGUAGCUUCAUGGUCCUGGGCUUCAGUUUUCUCAUCAAUGAAAUGGGCUAUAUGAUACCUAUUCCACGUAGGUAUCUAAGAAAACGUGUAUGACAUACUUUAAUUCCUGGUUGUAGUAAAUGCAAAAUGAUGGCACUUGUCAUCAUUAUUGCUACCAUUAAUAGACUCUGUCAUGCACCUGGACCAUCAGAGACCAGAGCAUCUCCAGAACUCUUCUGGAUAAAUACUUUCAGGAGCCAUUUCUUCCUGAUCAGAUGAGAGUUCCCAAUCCCUUUCCUUUGUUUAGAGUCUGCCUGUCCAAAGAGGCACCUAUCUUCUGCCCCUCCCCUGACAUAGCACCUGUUUUGAUUAGUUAUAUACUGAUCUAUUAUAGGUCUAUUGUCUUGGAUGUGUCCUUUUAAACACAGAAUGGUUAGAUGAGCAUUAGAAGGAAGUUGACUUUCUUCUAAGUUGACUUAGAACCUAGUCACAUUUCUGUCAUUAGCCAGGUGACCACUCUCAUCAGUAAAAUCUUUCUCUGUGGUGCUGCCUCAGGAGUCGAUCACUUAUUCUAGCUACCAUUUACUGAACACCUGUGCAGUGCCAUCCAGAUGUCAGUGACAUUCCACGCUUCAUCUCUAGUCCUUGUGAUAACCUUGCAAAGCAGUUAUUCUCCUCAUUUUAGAAAUUGGGACAGUAAAGCUUAAUAAUCUUAACUGUGUUUUUACUGCCUGAAUGAUUUGGGGCAGCUUCUUAAACCAUUUUAAAUCGCAGGUUUCUCAUAUGUCCAUUAGAGGAGCUAUCAGCUGCUGCCUCAUAGGCUAUGGAGAUGACGUAUGCAGGGCUCAUGACACAGUCCCGCAUGCAGUGGGCACUCCAGGAGCGCUUGGUGAUAUGCCUUGUCAAGAGCCACAUAGCUAGAAGGAUGAGCCAGGUUUUAGUCUAGGUCUGUCUGGGUCUUUCAAGGUAUGUGAGAAAGUACUUGUGACCCAAGCGCCUGUGAAGACCUUUUCCUUGGUGUGAUCCUGGAAGAGGGAGCAGCUGCCGUACUCUCCCUCUUCCUCUUGGGGGUUCCUCUUUUCUUCUCCCUUUUGGUCUGUCAUCUGCUCCUCCAUUCUGGCUGCAUGGGAGGAUCACAGGUACUGGAGAAAAUAUUCCUUCUCUUAAAGGCCACAGGGAUAACCUCUUUCAGCAUAAACACGUAACAUAAAAUUUACAAUCAGUGAUGUUUAGUACAUUCAUAAUAUUGUACAACCAUCACCACUAUCUAGUUCCAAAAUGUUUUAAUCAUCCCCAAAGAAAACCCAUUACCCAGUGAAUAGUUACUCCCCAUCCUCCUGCUCCAGUCCCCCUGGCAACUACUAACCUGAUUUCUGUCCCUAUGAAUUUGCCUGUUCUAAAUAUUUCCUAUAAGUGAAAUAAGACCAUAUGCGGCAUUGUGUGCCUGGCUUUUUUCACUUAGCAUAACAAGGCUUAUCUGUAUUCUUUCCUUCUCUAUACCAGCUCCAGGAAGACAGUGAAGAAAAAUUUCCCACUGUUUAUUUUCAGUAAGUCCUCUUGUACAUUGACUACCAUGGCGGCUAAUCAGCUUCAUUGUGACAAAGCUGGCUAUUUCUAUGGAAUCUUCCUGCAUUGCCCAUCAAUCUGUAAGCCUGCCAAUCAUGGCAGAAUCUGCUUCUGUCACAGUGGUUUAUGGGCUUUGCUUCUACAGUUUGUCUUUUUCUUCCAGGAGUAGAUUCCUGUUCCUUUAAGAAGGAUGAUGAGAUUCAAGAUAUUUCAUGCAAGGCAGAACCUUAUCCUGGCCUCACUCAUGAUCUCUGUAAGAGCCCAGGCCAGCCCACACACCAUUCAAUAAUUUCAUCUGGAAAUGAAGAACUUAGGAAUUUAGAUGAGUUAUCUGAGCAGGGGGCUGGGAGAAGAAAAUAACAGAUAAUUCACAGGGCUUCUGAGUCUAAAAUGUUACUUAAUAGAAAGAUUUUUCAGAUAAGGAGUAAUGAAUACUGGAUUGUCACAUAUCACAAAGUAUUGGUUUGGCCAGAAGUUUGAACUUUUUGGCCAACUCACUUCAUAAAAUUAAGAGUUAAAUGGGGGUUACACAGAACAGGUUGGUGAUUGGAAUCAAAGUCUCGGUUCCUAUGCUAAUUUGUAUUUCUCAUUGAAGAUGUUUAUAUUAGCAUUUUGGUUUUAUUAAACAAUAGCAGUAAAAACUCAAUAUACUGAAAAAGCAAGAAGAGUUUAGGUUGUGGGCAAUUCCAGAAGGCAGGACUGGAUUGUCUCCUGAGGUUACCUCCAGUCUCGUAAUUCUGUGUGUCUGAGUCAUCUUGUAAUUUCUUGGGGGUUUGUGGGAGAAGAAAGAGGAGGUCCCACCUGACAGGAGUCAGGGUCACCUGUCAUCUCUCUACUCAUCUGGCUGAUGCAUACUUAGCAUAGUGAAUUCCUGUUUGGAAAUUGAUUUACAGUAAUUGCAAGUGGCAAAGAAAGCUUGUUUCAAGGCAGGAUUUGAAGUGGGAAAGAAAGGACCUUGUCCAAAGCUUUUUCCAAGGCCGGUCAUGCUGAGUGAAGGUUCCUUGUUGGGGGAGAAAGGAAUUCCCCGCAGACCCUAUCUUCUCACCCCAGCUGACAGCUCUAUUGCGGAUAUGGUACCUCCCUGGCUGUCAGUCAUUUGAAGGGAACCUCUGACUCUAAGACCUCUCUAGGUUAUUAAAGGGGAUGGCAUACAUGUGUCAGGCUGAUGAUGGUGUACAUGACAGAGAAACUGUCACAGAACAAAGAUGAAAGAAGCUGAGCACCUGCCUCCCUGAAGUGGCCACCAAGUUAUGCCUGAAGUCAGUGUUCCAUUUUAGAGGGCAUACUGCCUGAGGGUCAUGCACUGUGUGUGUGUGUAGAAAGGUGGUGUAGGAGGGAAUAUCUUAAUAGGAUUUUCAGUUUUUCUUGUUUAUUUCACAUACAAAAUUUCUGAAUGAACAUCUCCAUUCAUGUGCUUGAUGUUACUAUUGAAUAACUAGGUAGAAGGAUUUGACAUUUGGAGCCCCAAAGUUACUUGUCUCUGCUGCCUAUAAAACCACAGCAGGUGGUGAGCUCUUCACUAGUGAGCACUAAAAAUGCCCAAAUAACACUGCAGGAUUAUUGCUCAUCUAUGUUUUGUAAAUAGACAUACAUAUAUCUGCAUGUAGUAUAUACAUUUUAAUCUCACCUAUUGUCUAAAUAUGAAAAUGAAUUUGAAAUAAAUCCAUCAGGAAUAUGCGCUUAACAGCACCUUUAAAUAAUCAGCAGUUGGUACCUGAUUUAUUCUCAUUUUGGUCUCUAAAGCAGAAGAAUUCAGUCCUUCUGAAUUUCUCAUCCAGGACUCAUAAGUUUGAGAGAGUCAGAGAAUUUUUUGUACUGUAAUCUUCUCCAGCUGUAGCUUAUUCUGAAAUUGGAUCUGUUCCAGGGUGUAAAUAUUUGUUAAUGAGUUUCCAAAGUCAAAAUAAUUAGUGAUGCUUAGGCAUCUUUUAUAAUGGGCCUAGAAUAGAUUUUUUAAAGCAGUCUGCAGUAGAUUUUUCGUACAGGUAUAGAGUUCUGGUGGACAAGCUCAUUUAAUAAUUAGGGAUUCAAAGUAGAUGUUUAGAUAUGAUUACAUUGAUGGGUUAUUCUUCAGAUUUAACAGGAUGAAUGUUUUAAACCUCAUGACUGACCUGUGACUUUGAGCUGCAUUGAGCUUACUGACAUAAUGUGCUGAAAGUGGAUCAUGGAAUCCCUCAGGAUUCUGUGGAAAACAUGAUCUUCCUUCUCAGACGCUUCCAUAUCAAGGGGCGGUCUUUUCUGGGAAGUUUCAGAUUUACACACUUUGAAGAACUAAGAUUCAAGAACGGGUUUCAUUUUGAGAUAUGUUCUAGAACUGGUAGAGCUCAAGGUCUAAGAGAUCUAAUAUUUGUCUUAGAAAGAUGCAUAAAGAGGUGUGACUCUUUAAAAAAAUUCAAGUAUUUCUAAGCUAAAUAUCAUGUUAAUACAAUGUGCCAUUUUAAUUUCUAAUGCCUAUCAAAAUAAUUAUUAGAGAAUUUCUGAUUAACCUUUGCUAAAAGAAAAUGUGUACUCAGAUAAAUUAAGAAUAUGUCAUCCAGUUACACUGAAAACUAUCAAUAGCUAGCUUGGGGACAACUCUUAUUAAGUUAGAUAUAUUAAUCCAGUAAGUGGUAGAAUUCUUUCUGUUUGUCCUCUGAUGCAUUUGACUUUGAGAUCCCUGGUACCAAACAUCUAUGAGGUAUCAGUGAGGGUUUGGUCAGAGAAGCUGACUCAUUAUGAGUGAUAUUUUUCAAUGCUGCUUGUCAAGAGGUCAAAUAUACCUUUCUUGAUAAGUGAUAUUGAAAAAUAAAUCAAAUAUAAAGCUAAAUCAAUUUAUAUAAGCCAUCUAGGAAUUUAUCUUGGUUGGAUUAUAUAGAUUUCUGCAUCCAUCCUCACUGUUUUGUCAGAUCUAACCUCUGUAGUGAAUUCCUUUUUCCAUAUCACUCAUAGUGUUAUUUCUAGAAAGUGUUGUAAGACUUCAUAGAACUGGUCAACCUUAGCUUCUUUAGCAUCAGUGGUUGGGGCAUAGACUUGGAUUACUGUAUGGAUUACUGAAUGGUUUGCUUUGGAAAUAAACCAAGAUCAUUCUGUUGUUUUUGAGGCUGCACCCAAGUGCUGCACUUCACACUCUUUUGUUGACUAUGAGGGCUACUUCAUUUCUUCUGAGGGAUGUCUGCCCACAGUAAUAGGUAUAAUGGUCCUCUGAGUUAAAUUCACCCAUUCCCAUCCAUUUUAGUUCACUGAUUCUGAAGAUGUUGAUGUUCACUGUUAGUUACUAUCUCUUGCUUGACCACAUUCAAUUUACCUUGAUUCAUGGACCUAACAUUCUAGGUUCCUAUGCAAUAUUGUUCUCUUUACAGCAUCAGAUUUUACUUUCAUCACCAGACACAUCUUCAACUGAGGAUUUCUACUUUGUCAUUUCUCAUUUCUACCUUGACCCAACUGCUUCAUUCUUUCUGGAGCUAUUAGUAAUUGCUCUCUGUUCUUCCCCAGUAACCUAUUGGAUACCUUCCGACCUGUGGGGCUCAUCUUCUGUUGUCGUAUCUUUUUGCCUUUUCAUACUGUCCAUAGGGUUCUCUAGGCAAGAAUACUGGAGUGGGCUGCCAUUUCCUCCUCUGGUGGACCACAUUUUGUCAGAACUCUUCACUAUGACCUGUCCAUCUUACAUAACCCUGCAUGGCAUGACUCAUAGCUUCACUAAGUUAUUCAAGCCCCUUUUCCAUGACAAGGCUGUGAUCCAUAAAAGGGAUAUUUGGUAUAUAAACGAUAUUUACUUUGUCUAAAGAAGAGCUUCUUUAUUGAACAAUGAAACAUUAGUAAAACCAAAAGCUGUUUUAUGAUAUUGCUAUUCUCCCUAAUAUGAAUCUUAUCUUUAAUUUGGCUUUUAACUAGAUAACCAGGACUAUCUGAUAUAAUUCACUAAAAUAUGUUAACCAUUUACUAUGGCAAGAUGCUGGGUUGGUUGUUAGAUCAUGAUUACAAUAUAUCCUUACAUUCUCUAAGUUAUUUUUGUGUUUUCUAAGCUAUGUUUGUUUUUUCCUUCUAUGAUUAGAUUAGAUUUAUUUGUUCAGAUGAAGUACAAUAAGUAUUUAUUCAUUGUGAACACUCUGGUAAUUAGACCUGCCCAAACUAACUGGUGGGUGCUAUAGUGGUUUUGUCCUAGGUCACUUAGAUAAGGAGGAAUUUCCCAGAAUUCCCUUCACAGUAUGGUUCUGGGUCAGGGUUGGUCACCAAAGAAAUUUACCUGAGGUUUUGGAGAUCGACGGGAAGCAGUAGUUGUUAUGCUCUGAAAGUCAGUGUAGGUUGCUAAGCUAUCUUGCAGCUCAAGACUGUUAUUGCAGAGCUGUUAGAUAGAUGCAAAAGUAAUUCUGGUUUUGCAUUGUUGAGCUUUACCAUUUAAUACUGGAACACAUUCUUAAACAAGUGUGAUUAUGUUAUGCAUCAUUUUAAUGUGCCUUUCUUGCUUUGUGUUUUUGCUAAUGACUUAUUACUUGCUAUUUAUUUUAUAUUAUAGAAAUGAUGUUAGAAAGCAAAUUUGAAUGAUUUUUUUGAG